CACCUGAAAUGGAGGGACACACAUCUCAAAGAACCACAGUUACUGCAGAACGUGAGUAAUCUCUUCUUAAAUGUUUGCAAUGCACUUAUAUAGGACUUUUUACCUUAGUCUUUCUAAGGGUGUUAAGUUAUUUUGACAUCUGAGAUCUUCAUUCAGUUGAUAACAUGAUAAAUGGGUUAUUUUUGUUUUCAGCCAACAGUAUUCAUGUGCAGCCCAAAGCAUGGAAGGCUGGUUGUUUGUAAAUAAAAAGAAAAAAAAAGGAGAAAACAAAGCCAUAUUUGGAAGUGUUAAAUGCCUUGACAAUGUUUUUUCUCUUUAAUAAUCAGACGGGGUCUAAUGGAGGAUGAUGCUGAGCCCAUCUUUGAAGAUGUAAUGAUGUCCUCACGAGGUCAGCUAGAGGAUAUGAAUGAGGAAUUUGAAGACACCAUGGUCAUUGAUCUGCCACCUUCAAGAAACCGACGAGAACGAGCUGAAUUGAGGCCGGACUUCUUUGACUCUGCAGCUAUCAUUGAAGAUGAUUCAGGAUUUGGAAUGCCUAUGUUCUGAAGUCUGGGGAAGACGUUUUACAAAUUUGGAACUCUAUUGUUUAGAGCUAGAGGCCUAUAUACUGUGAUAGCUUGUAUGAAAACCACAUUUUUGAUGUGAUAUGGUUUGAUUUUUAACCAAAUGAAUAAGGUCAAUCCCAUUUUGUAGUGAAAGAGGAGAAGAGGACCUUCUUAAUGAUACAAAGGAACGUUGGCCAAUCCAAUCACCUCAGAAAGGCUGACCUAAAAGAAUCAUUUGUAUCCCUGUUCUUGACUGUCCUUAUACAGAUGUUUUUUUUCUGGAUGGGAAGGGAGUUUUAAAUUGUUAAGACAGCUGUCAAAAUAAACACUGUUCUACACAUGUUUUCUGAAAACAUUGAAUGAAAACAAAAAACUUUUUAACUUUAUUUUUCUGCUGUACAAUUUAAAACUGUUUUAACAUUUGCCUUUUUAUGUUUUAAAAGCUAGCCAUUUUUAUUAAACCUAUGCCUGUCAGCGACUGACUAGCAAUGAUGCUAUAAGCAGGUCAUCCUGGCUGCAGAAAUGUGUUUUUAAACACACUGGAUUUGAUUAACAGUAUGGUACGUGUAUAUCCUCUCAUAGGCAUUGAAAAGAGCAGAACACUCUCUUACAAAAGAGGUUAGAAUUCUAAUGAAGUGCAUCUCUGCCAAAAAAGUCAGAUUCUGAUAUGAUAAACCCAGAUUUUAUACUCUUGAGAAGAUUUAUUUUUAUUUAUAAUGGGGCAUAAAAUAAGAGAUGUCCAUGAAGCCACUUUUCCAACAGAUGCUGUGUAACAUUCAUUUUAUAUAGCACUAGGGGACACAAAAACAGUACAUUUUCUAUUGGUACUUGCUCUGUGCAUUUUUAGCAACUUAUACCAGCAAAUAAAGUAUUCUCAGUAAAACACACAAAUGGUUCUCAAGUAGUCACUUUGCUGUUUUUACUACCUAUUUCGUGCCCUGCCAAUCCAAGGUACAUAAACAGCAACUUUCCUAUAUAAAAUAGAUCAAGGGGGGGAAAAAAGGAAUCGCUUUAGCAUUCUAAAAGCAAUUUUAACUGUACCAUAUAAAAAUGUCUACUUUCCAUGCCGCAAAUACCCUUUUGUGCUAUUUUUGUAAAUUAAUUUUGCCAGUUAGAAGUACUGUAUGUGCUGCAUAGAAAUUUGUGCUUAGAUGGUGAAGUUCUUAAGCUUACAAUGGAAUACAGCUACAUUUUCAGUGUUAACUGUGCAUAUUAAAAGUAAUUCUUUGAAAAAAUACAAUUUUUCAAAAAAGUAAAGAAAACCCAAAAAGUUCUCAGCUAAUUCAUUGUAAUAAGAGAUUUUCAGUGUCUUCAAUUAUUUGGAAUCUCAUUAUGCUUAGAUUUUAUGACUCUGCCUAGUAGCUGCUACUGUAGUUUAAAACUGGCCUGAUAUUCAGAGGUGCUGACCACCCACAACUCCCACUGAAUAAAGCACCUCUGAAAAUCAGCACCAAAACGUUAAUCUUCCUUUCUGAGUUUGAAUGUUAGCAUUUGAGAUACAAAGCAUAUUGACCCACUUCAAGCACAGCAGGUUUAGAGUUGCUUUUAUUAGCAACUGCAAAUUUAUCAUGGAGCUUUCUCUUUUACAAUGUCAUUUGGAAAAAAACAUGUACACUUCGUACUUACUUUUGGGGAGGGAAAAACAACUAAUGUAAAAACAAAUCAUUCUUUUCAUUUAACAGCUGAGAUUUUUCUCAAUGUGUACAGUUCUCAGAAAGACUUGGUUGCCAAAAAUGUUUAACUUGGUAAUUCAGCCAUUCCUCAAGUGUAGAUGGGUGACUAUUGCAACAGCCUCUGAGGUUGCUGGAUCAUUUCUUUAUAACUAGGGUGCAGGUUACCCCCAGGGGGUACAGGGUGGGCAGGAAUGGCUGCAUUAUCAUGUCAGCACUGUAGUUCUGUGAGCAUAGUAGCAUAAUAAAUGCUGCAUGGUUUGAGUCAUAGUCACAGACAAACCUUGUGCUUCACAGUCCUCUGUGUGGAAAAUUGAACCCUGAGUUAUAGAUUGUAGACUACUGUAUAACACAACAAAGAUCACUUGGACGGCCCCUCCAAUGGUUUCCAGUUCAGUUUGCAGUCAAUAGGUUUUUUGUAUUGAGAGUGUCUCCUUGAUUGGUUUUGCUAGUAAUUCUGUAAAUUGUACAUUUACAAUAUGAGGUUUUUUUUUCCUUUUGUACAAUUUAAAACUGAUGCUUCACCUUUCCUUUAAUAAACUAUUCAAAGUCA